UCAGUCCCAACAAUAAAAUUUUGAAAAACCCAGCAAUACAAUUAUGAAUUACUUUUCGGUUUUAGUUGUUGUCGCCCUCAUUUUGGGCAUCAGCCACCAAGUUCAAUCGGAUGAUAUUGAUCAGGAAAUAAGUGAUAAGGUGUGGAAAGUACCUGGAUGGAAGUAUUUUCCCUAUGCGUAUCCAACCAGCUAAUGCUGUUAUGAGCCACGAAGUCAAUCGAUAACAAUGUUAUACUUUAAUAAGCUAUAACUUUCCAGUAAAUGUAUGGUUCGAUAUAAAUAAAUUAAAUUGAUUUUUA